rnacentral:rRNA from 1 species
UACGUGCCCCCAGCCGCGGUGAUACGUGCGUGGCAUGCGUUAUCCGGAAUUAUUGACCGUCUAGCGCGCGCAAGUGGUUUCUUACGUCUGAUGCGAACACGCACGCUUCACCCGUGUACGCUCAUUGCUAACUGGCCAACUUGAGUGCUGAAGAGAAAAGAGGAGUUCUCCGCGCUGGGGUGACAUGCCAUCAGAUGUGGAGUAACACCAGUGGCGAGGGCGGCUUUUUGGUCUGUAACUGACGAUGAGGCCAGAAAGCGUGGGGCGCAAACAGGAUUAGAUAGCGUGGUAGUACACGCCGUAAGCGAUGAGUGCUAAGUGUUAGAGGGUCUCCGCCCUUUAGUGCUGCAGCUAACGCAUUAAGCACUCCGCCUGGGGAGUACGGUCGCAAGACUGAAACUCAAAGGAAUUGACGGGGGCCCGCACCAGCGGUGGAGCAUGUGGUUUAAUUCGAAGCAACGCGAAGAACCUUACCAGGUCUUGACAUCCUCUGACAACUCUAGAGAUAGAGCGUUCCCCUUCGGGGGACAGAGUGACAGGUGGUGCAUGGUUGUCGUCAGCUCGUGUCGUGAGAUGUUGGGUUAAGUCCCGCAACGAGCGCAACCCUUGAUCUUAGUUGCCAGCAUUUAGUUGGGCACUCUAAGGUGACUUCCGGUGACAAACCGGAGGAAGGUGGGGAUGACGUCAAAUCUUCAUCCCCCUUAUGACCUGGAGUACACACGUGUUUCAAUGGAUGGUACAAAGGGCUGCAAGUCCGCGAGGUCAAGCCAAUCUCAUAAAACCAUUCUCAGUUCGGAUUGUAGGCUGCAACUCGCGUACAUGAAGCUGGAAUCGCUAGUAAUCGCGGAUCAGCAUGCCGC